UGUCUCACAUUGAAGAUUUGUUAAGUCACUGGAUGACAGUGGACUUCCUGUCUUGCACCUGCGGCCCUAUACAGUUUGAAGAUUCAUUUCAU